rnacentral:rRNA from 1 species
AGUUUGAUCAUGGCUCAGAUUGAACGCUGGCGGCAUGCUUNACACAUGCAAGUCGAACGGCGGCACGGGAGCAAUCCUGGUGGCGAGUGGCGAACGGGUGAGUAAUGUAUCGGAACGUACCUUUCAGUGGGGGAUAACGUAGCGAAAGUUACGCUAAUACCGCAUAUUCUGUGAGCAGGAAAGCAGGGGAUCGCAAGACCUUGCGCUGAUUGAGCGGCCGAUAUCAGAUUAGCUAGUUGGUGAGGUAAAGGCUCACCAAGGCGACGAUCUGUAGCGGGUCUGAGAGGAUGAUCCGCCACACUGGAACUGAGACACGGUCCAGACUCCUACGGGAGGCAGCAGUGGGGAAUUUUGGACAAUGGGGGCAACCCUGAUCCAGCCAUGCCGCGUGAGUGAAGAAGGCCUUCGGGUCGUAAAGCUCUUUCAGCCGGGAAGAAAUCACAUGGGUUAAUACCCUGUGUGGAUGACGGUACCGGAAUAAGAAGCACCGGCUAACUACGUGCCAGCAGCCGCGGUAAUACGUAGGGUGCGAGCGUUAAUCGGAAUUACUGGGCGUAAAGCGUGCGCAGGCGGUUUGUUAAGAUAGGCGUGAAAUCCCCGGGCUCAACCUGGGAACUGCGUUUAUGACUGGCAGGCUAGAGUAUGGCAGAGGGGGGUGGAAUUCCACGUGUAGCAGUGAAAUGCGUAGAGAUGUGGAGGAACACCGAUGGCGAAGGCAGCCCCCUGGGCCAAUACUGACGCUCAUGCACGAAAGCGUGGGUAGCAAACAGGAUUAGAUACCCUGGUAGUCCACGCCCUAAACGAUGUCAACUAGGUGUUGGGUGGGUAAAACCAUUUAGUACCGGAGCUAACGCGUGAGGUGACC